rnacentral:tRNA from 2 species
GAAAGGUUUACAAGAACUGCUAACUCCUACCCACUAGUGCUAACCCACUAGACCUUUCA